ACGUCGCGUAGUUAGUAGUGGUGCUUACUGUACUCUUCAUACCGUGCCACAAUAUUUUAAUAUUUUACUGAACAUGGUUUAGCAAUUAUUCCAUUACAAAAAAUUCAAGAUUAACAAAAACAGUUCACUCGGUAUCUCAACGUCGGCGCGUGCAUUAUUCACGUUAGUAUCGGGCCAGCUACUGGUAUAUUUUGUUUUAAGGUGAAUUUAAAUAUUCCUUGUGGGUUACAGUUUUUCUUGGAAUAGUAUUUGGUGAGCUUUUUUUAUUGUCAACAAUGGCUAAAAGAAAUCCAGAACUCGAAGUCCUGGAAAGCAAUAGACAGUUUACAACUGAUCUCUACAACGUUUUAGCUAAAGCACCAGGAAAUGUCAUCUUUUCCCCUAUUAGCGUGCAUGCUGUUCUUUCAAUGUCCUACCAAGGUGCCAAGGGUACAACUGCUGAAAAGUUUGCUUCCACACUGAAAGUGCCUACAGCUGCAGUUGCUGCAGAAGGUUACAGCAUCGUUAUGAACCGCCUUAAUUCUGUUCCAAAUGUUACACUUCUGAUGGCUAAUAAAAUGUAUCUGAUGGAGGGCUAUCAACUCGUGCCAGGAUUCAGCAACGCCGUCACUAAGAAUUUCUUAUCUGAAGUACAGUUACUUAAUUUUGCUGAAAAUGAGGCAGCUGCUGCAAGUAUUAAUGCCUGGGUUGAAGAAAAAACAAAAGAGAAAAUCAAGGAUUUAAUUAACAAAGACGAUUUAGAUAAAAGCACGCGUUUAAUACUUGUAAACGCCAUCUACUUCAAGGGCAGUUGGCUAGAUCCAUUUAGCAAGUAUUCCACUAAAACUGAACCUUUUUACCUUAAUAAUGUCGAUUCGGUAAAAGUACCAAUGAUGAAUAAGUGCGCGGAUUUCUAUUAUAAAGCAGAUAAAAAUUUGGAUGUCCAAAUCUUAGAACUUCCUUAUACUAACGAGAAUCCAAGUAUGAUCAUUAUUUUACCUAACAUGAGGAACGGACUUGAUAAGCUGGAAAAAAAGCUGGCCACUUGUAACUUAAGGGAGACAACACAACAUAUGGAGAAGACAGAAGUUUUCGUACGGUUACCUAAAUUCAAAAUUGAGCAAACCAUCAAUUUAAAUGAUCCUUUAACUAAGCUUGGACUUGGUGAAAUUUUUGAUCCACGUAAAGCUAAUUUUAAAGAUUUGGUUACGUCAAAUGGCAAGCUAUACGUGAGUCAAGUUGUACAGAAAGUUUUUAUUGAAGUAAAUGAAGAAGGGGCGGAAGCAGCAGCUGCCACUCAAAUGACGAGAGUGCCGUGCUGCGCCAGAGUUGGACCUCCUCCAAAGCAAUUUAUAGCAGAUCACCCAUUUAUUUACUUUCUCUGUGAGAACAGAAUUAAUCCUCUUUUUGCUGGACGCCUGUCCGAUCCCAGAAAUAUUAAAUUUUCGAAUAGUAAGUAAUCAUAAUUAAAUUGAAAUAUUAUAGAGUGUAAUAUAUUUUACAGGUAAGUUAGGUAACAUCCGUUGUGCGUACAGUAUAGGUAGCGUUGUGUCAAAUACAUUAGCCACUUCUGAACAUACAUCUAGACGUAACCUUUCACGUUUUAAAUACUGUAGGAAAUGUUAAAUUGUAUUUAAUAUGUAGAUAUGUAUUUAGGACUAACAUAAUAUGUAUAGGUACCAAAUAAUAAUAUUAAUAUUAAAUUAAUUAAAUAAAAUUAAAUUAAUACUGUGAUGACUUUUCUAAUGCCUAUAUACCUAUGUGGUAUUAAUUUAGACUCAGAAAACACUUAUUAAAUUGUAUAGUCAAUUUGAUACCAUCUACAUACUUAGUUAAGCUUAUAACCGCUCAUUUUAUUGUCACGUUUAUUUUGUUUUUUUUUCCGAUAGUAAUUUUUGUAAUUUAGUACAAAAC